GGGCGUGUGGUCUAGUGGUAUGAUUCUCGCUUUGGGCGAUUCUUAGGUACACCUGAGAAAAAUCACUUAAACAUGUGAGAGGUCCUGGGUUCAAUUCCCAGUAUGCCCC
rfam:Kazachstania naganishii CBS 8797 chromosome 7, complete genome